CCAACGGCCCUCUUUAGGGCCACAUAUCUAUUAUCCGAUCAUGU
rfam:Caenorhabditis elegans chromosome V